CCUCUUGUCUCUUUUCGUUCCAAAAGAAUAUUUCUCUCCUUUUCUUUGAUUUACGAAAAUCUAACCAUCCAAAUUUAAAUUCGAUUUCGGUAACGUGAUCUACGAAGCCCGAUCUACGUUUCUACCGAUUGGUUUGAGGAUUUGUUGUGAGGAGCUUGCUAAACACUCUCCAAGUGUUGAAUUUACAUUUGGUGGAAUUUUUGUAAUGCAUUGCAUGGUAGUGUCUAGGAGACCUAGUGCUUAAUAUCCGCGCAGCCAAGUAAUGCAUUGCAUGGUGGUGUCUAGGAGACCUAGUGCUUAAUAUCCGUGCAACGAAGACAUUGAUGCUUUGGUUACAGGUUCUGCGGAUAUAGAUAUUGACUCGUCCACCUAGCGUAUGCGAUGUUAUAAUUGGAGCACAUCGCGACAAUCAUAAGUUGUGGACUCAUGGGUAGUUCGUAGUUUGAGUAUUUUAUUUAUGGCUCGAGUCCUACGUGGUAUAUGUAUUUAUUAAGCCCGUAUUUUAGUACGUAAUUAGUGUAAUAUGUUUUAUAAGCCUUAAAUAGAUAGACUUGUAAAUGGCUCUUGUUGUAAUUAAAUGUUAUGUAUUAGAUGUAUUUCCGCUAUUGAUAUGUGUUGCACUGCACAUUGAUAUAUUCUGUUGUGUUAGAUGUAACUCUGAAUAUUAGGUACAUGUUAUGGAACGUGAAUGUUGUGUUGGCUGAGCGACCAGUAGUCAUGCCACUGUAAAGAUCCAUUUAUGUAUAUUUAAAAAAAGAAAAAAAAAUGGGUCGUCACACUCGUAACGAUCACAAAUCUAGGGAGAAGUUGUUAGAGGCGCAGCUACAGAUAGAGAGGCUGACUGAUGAGAAGCUGACCCACAUGCUAUAAGUCCAAAAGAGCCCAACAAACAAGAUAGGACUCAGGUAUGUAGCCUCUACCUCAGAUAUCCCCUCCACUUCAAAGACUGUGUUCGUCAAGCCCACAGUCCCCGAGCCUCCUCACGCCUGCAUGGAUAAAGGAAAGGAUUUCAUUGGAGGAGAAGAUUCGGUUGUUACGAAACACAUUCAGAAGACUCCUACCAAAAGAAUUGGUCACAUCCGACCCAGGUGUCCUCAACGUCAGACUCAAAAGGAGCCUUCAAGAUAAGCUACAUCCGACACUAGACCUCUAACAAGAUAUCAGGCUUCGCAGCAUCCGCGACGAUAGCAGUGAUUUGUUCCUUCCCAUAAUGGCAAACUAAAGAAAAACAAAUCAUGGCACUACUAGGAGGAGUCACAGAAGCCCAAAAGCAACCAAUCUUAUGAGGGGCUAUCUAUUUUGAUGCGGAACUUGCUAAGAUAGAUGGAAAACCACUUGAAGGCCUGUCAACAACCACCACAGGAAAGGCAGGUUUAGGUCAGAACGGAUGAGGGCACUCACCCCUUAAAGAGGAAUGGACUCACUUAGUGAAAGUGAAGUCUCACCAAGCCUAGGAUUUUGGUUCCUAAAUCCUAGUGCAUGUCAGGUUUGGUUGCAUUGCAUUAUUUAUCAUAACAUAUCUUAUACUUUGCACAUUGUUUGAGGAACCCCAUAUUUUUUCUUGUUGUCUUGAGAAAAUUUCUGCAAGUACUUUAUGAGGAUGACAGAAAAAGCACAUCGGCCGGCUGCUUUUCUGUCUUGGUUGUUAGUUUUGUUGGCUGUAUUCUGACAAAAUCACUAUUAUGUAAUGUUACUGUCGUAAACAGGGAUGCUGUAUAUUUCAGAAUAUUCACAAUAUUUAGAGUUUUUGUCUUUAAUACGAAACAGGCUUAUUAUGACAAGUUUCAAUGUCACAAGCUUCAAGAAGGCUAAUUCAGUGUUCUAGGAAGAUUCUGUACAGUUUCCAACUUAGAAAAAGUUGAAUCCUUUGUUUCCGUCAAACAGCCCAGUGAUGCGUUCAGACGCCCAUCAGUGUCGAGAAGCUUCUGAACAGCUCCAGGUUGCAUCUGUCCAGACGUCAUGGCAACACAUUCGGACGCUCUUCAGAGUUCGAGAAGAUUCUAGUUUUCCUUUGUAGACACAGAUUGGGAAGACAGUUUGCAUCCAUCCUGAUGACGGGGCAACACCGUCCGAACAAGGUCCUUGAUAAGGAAAUUGCGUGCAUACAAUCUGCAACUGUCCGGACUCUAGUGCAACACCGUCCGACAAGGUUCUUGAUAAGGAAAUUACGUGCAGACAAUUUGCAACCGUCCGGACUCUAGGGCAACACUGUUCGAACAGGACCUUAAUAUGGAGAGCGUGAAGCGCGUUAUGGAAAGGCAAUUACAGUUAUCCGUUCGGACGCGGCCUAGAGAAGUUAGUUUCGGACUCGACUUAGCUUUUCUUAAGCCUAUAAAUAGAGGCCUCUAGGCAUGUAAAAAUCAUAAAUUCAGUAUUGAAUUCUUCUGUACUUAGAGAAGGUGAUUAAGUAGAAAUUGUGAAGAUCCGCUAGCUCUCUAAGGGUUGUCGGUGUGUUGUUACUUUGUUCGCGUGAAGUCAAUCUUAGGGAGGAGCCCUAAGGUAAAGGAAUCGAUUGAAGACCUCCUUCAAGUAAGUUACUUAGUUGGGAGAUGUUCACGUUGGGUUACGUGUCAGAGUGCAAGAUAUGAUCGCUGUAUAAGGGUAUGAGAGUGUUACUGUCUUGUUACUAGCUUUGCCUUCUGAAUAGUGAAAUUCUUGAGUUUGGCUACCCCGGAGUUUUUUUUUCUCUUAAUUGGGUUUCCACUUCGUUAACAAAAUAUCUGUCUUAUUUAAAUUCCACACUUUUGAUAUUUUGUUACACAUUGCUCACACACACACCGUAAAUUAGAAGUCUCUUUA